GACGAACCGUGCGAACGUUAUUCGGAAUCACUGGGCUUAAAGCGCGUGUAGGCGGGCCAGCACGUCGGAUGUUGAAAUCCCCCCGGCUCAACCGGGGAACGGGCACCGAUACGACUGGCCUGGAGGGGAGUAGGGGGACCUGGAACUUCCGGUGGAGCGGUGAAAUGCGUAGAUAUCGGGAGGAACACCAGUGGCGAAGGCGACUUCCUGGCCUGUUCUUGACGCUGAGGCGCGAAAAGCUAGGGGAGCAAACGGGG
rnacentral:rRNA from 1 species